rnacentral:rRNA from 1 species
GUGCAGCAGUCGAGAAUUUUUCUCAAUGGGGGCAACCCUGAAGGAGCGACGCCGCGUGGAGGAUGAAGGCUUUCGGGUUGUAAACUCCUGUCAUUUGGGAACAAGUUGGACGCAGUAACUACGCGUCCAUUGAUAGUACCAGAAGAGGAAGGGACGGCUAACUCUGUGCCAGCAGCCGCGGUAAUACAGAGGUCCCAAGCGUUGUUCGGAUUCAUUGGGCGUAAAGGGUGCGUAGGUGGCGCCGUAAGUGGGGUGUGAAAUUUCGGAGCUUAACUCCGAAACUGCAUUCCACACUGCGGUGCUUGAGGGCUGGAGAGGAGACUGGAAUUCAUGGUGUAGCAGUGAAAUGCGUAGAGAUCAUGAGGAAGACCAGUGGCGAAGGCGGGUCUCUGGACAGUUCCUGACACUGAGGCACGAAGGCCAGGGGGAGCAAACGGGAUUAGAUACCCCGGUAGU